rnacentral:lncRNA from 1 species
AAUCUCAAUAAUAGAGAUUAUAAAAAUUUCAUAUUUUCAAUAAUCUGGUUUAAUUCAAUCAAAUAUUUGUGUGGGUGUGUGGGUGUUGCAGCCUGUAGCUCAUUGCCAUAUUCGGCAUGGCCAUAGAGGGCGCUCGCAGCUUGAAUCAGAAUUUUGGAAUUCCCGUAUCAGCUUGAAUUAGAAUUUUGGAAUUCCCGAAUCGGGCACUUGUUAAUUUGCUGUCGACUAGAAAGCAGGUGUUACACAAAUUAGUUAAACUUUUAAAAGAAAAAGAAAAGAUGCCAAACAAGAGAAAUGCCGUAGGAUCGCCAUCAAGGGCCAUGGGAAAGAAGAGAAGAACGGCUAACAGGACAGGCGGACAGAUAAUGCAGAACGAGGAAAUAACCCAAAAGAAGGACGGAGCUGGCCGGAGAAGAAUUGCAAAGAAAACACAAGGGGUCGGACACGUGGUGGCAGAAGGACCGGUGGAAACUACUGAUUUUUCAUCAGGUAAUGAGUCGGAGGAGGAUGCACGAGCGUUCACCUCUUUAAGGCACGACCCGUUACACAAAAAAUUUGAAAUUGCAAAUAAUUCCAUUGAUUUCACUCCUUCACAAGAAUCUAGCAUUCAUGACACGUGCCUUUUAAAAUUAAGGAAAAAAUUUGGGAGGGAAAGUUUAUUGAGCUGCAUUCUCUUUUGAGAACGCAAAAAGCAAUGGAAGAGGUGGACGAGGGCGAUUUGAAAUUAAAAAAGGGAAAAAUUUGCAUUGAAAAAAGAUCGUCGAGUGUUAAUUUGUCCAUAAAUGAAUGGACUUCAGCAUUCAUGGUUUUUAUGAGUGUCUACAUUGAGAAAUACGGCACACGGGCACAGGAAUUGUUAAAAUAUAUGCGCGAUAUAAGACUAGCGGCAACGAGGUCAGAAAACUGGGCCACCUAUGACGAGCAAUUUAGGCUAAAAAUAGAGAAGAAUCCAAAUUUAUCUUGGGGAAAUAUACACGGUGAAUAUUGGCUAUUACACAUCACAUCUCCCAUAGUACAAAACAGCGUGUCAGUGCAAUCACAGGGUUAAAGGACAAAUACACAACAUCCGCUAAUCUGAUGAUUAUAAAUUCCUAACUGUCAGUAUUAAUUAUAAGCCGAUUCAACUAUAAAUUAGUGAUAACGUAUAAUGUAAACAUAACCAGACAAGGUCGUUAAACACUUCCAUUUGUUUGUUGUUAACAUAACAAUCCUCCCCCUUUUAAUUAAGAUGAUCAAGAUAAACAAGAUUAAUCUCCAGUGAAUGAAAGCAAUAAAUUCAAUUUGCACUCAAUUGAACUAAAUAGCUACAAGUUUUAAUGUUCAAUUAUGAAAUCCUAAACCUACAGUUAUAUCACUGCACUAACUUAAUUAACCACAAUUAUUUACAGUCAUAUAUGUUUUCAAUAAGUCUCUCUCAGUCUGGUGCCUUUCUUACUCUUUAUGUGCGGUGCAUAACUAUAGUAUCAUUAGCAUCUUCAAUUGUUUUAUUUUCGGUUAUUUUAGUUUUGUUCGGAUUCAUUGUUAUUUUCAGAUUUUUCGGUAUCGCAAGUGAAUUACAUGUUGGUUAGGUUAUUAAUUCAGUGUAAAUAUCAGAUAUGGUAAUUUCAAGUAUGUUUGGUAUGUUUUUAUUUUCCUGCGGUAUGAAGUUACGAAUCUGAAAAAUAUGUCACUUCUAGAUAAGUUACUGUUCCGAGUUUAUGAACGAUAGCUCCUUGUUUCCACUUGUUAUUGUCUCUAUAGUCUCUUUAAGAUUUGAACUCCCUACUGGAUGCAAAAAGAAUAUUUGUUUUUACCAUCUCCCCAUUUUAUUAUUAUUCUCUGUGGAGCUAUUGAUUUGACAUAUUUAGAAUUGACAUCAAAUGGUUUAAUUGAAAAUGAAAAAAUGGUCUACCCUACGUAACCAGGCUUUAUUUAAAAAGGUUAUUAUAAUAUGGCCUUUAUUGCUACAGUGCGAUACUGGCAUGUUGCACCCUUGAAUGUGGGUGCAAUAAUAGAACAGAACAG